rnacentral:sRNA from 1 species
ACAUAACUUUAUUUGAAAUCUCGUUGAAAGUGCUCGGAUAUUUCCUCCUGCCCUGAUGAUCCAAUGUUUAUUAUUUCGCACCAGUUCUAGUCUUGUAUUGUGUUACAUCAAGUGUCUUAAUCAGAGGAAAGGAUGGAUUGAAUUUAUUGCCAGAUGAAAAAAAAAUUUUUUUUAUCUGUAUCAGUGGGAAAAGCUAGAUAAGUCUGCCGCCAGCAUCAUAAAAACAGGGGGAUUAACGGCCUGGGAAAAGAUGGACCUUGUUAGGUGGAAUUGAAUGAAAGCAAGCCUCUUGUUCACAGUGUCACUAGCUCAGUGUUCACCUUUCCCCCUUAUUAAAUAUUGAUGGUAAUUAGCUGUAUUCUCUGGCACACCUACACCGUACCUACUAAUAUGCAAAGUCACAUGGGUAAACAGUUGUGCUAAUGACUCCGUUCCAUCGUUAGUUGAGAAAUCUCUUGAUCUUAUUGGCUACAUGCAGUUAGAGCUCGAAAAAAAUCUAAAGAAACUG